GGGCUGGAUGGAAAACUCUUUCCAGACAGACUCCGGGGCCCUCAACUGGUCUCCGACCUUCCCCUGCAACCUGCGACACCUGCCAUUUUCCCAUCUUAGGCUCCAGAAGCAGAAUCAAGUGGGAUGUCUUGGAAGAAAAACAAACAAAAGGCCCACUAGGUGGAGUGAAAUGGAUCAGGAGCAAUUAUGUUCAAUUUCACCUUUAAGUUUUCUCAAAAGGAGGAGCAUUAAGAAUCAGCCACCUUAGUACAUACUUAAAGUCCACAGGUCGAGAGGAACCAUACUUGAAGAAACAUACCUGAAGGGUUUCAUCCAUAUGUGGGCCUGAUUUGGAUGAUAAAAUCCUGCAUCUUGAGCCUGAUCUUGAUGCUGCCUGUGUUCUGAUGCCAUCAGGAGUUGAGAGUCUAGGGGUUUUAGAAAGGGUGAAUGUAUUUUCCCAUAGGCAAGGAACAUAAUCAAUGGCCAAAAUGUGCACUGUGACAGAUUAAAGGUUGCUACAAAUUCUCUGAUACCCUUCCAUUAAGAGGUAGGGCAGAUAUUCCCUCCCCUCAAAUCUGGGUGGGCUCCAUGACUUGCUUUGAUCAACAGAAAACGGCAGCAGUGAUGCUGGGCCAGUUGUUGGAUCCAGGCCUUAAGAACCAACAACUUCCACUUAAGUUCUCUUGGAACACUGAGUCCCUGACUACCCUAAUAUCAUGUUGGAAAGGCUACAUGUAGGCACUCUAGUUGCCAGUCCCAGCCAAGACCAGCUUUUCAGCCAUCCCCAUCACUAAAUUUGUAAAUGAAGCCAUCUGGAAUCUCCAGACCAGCUCAUUUGGCAGCUGGGUAUCAUCAAGUUAUCUCUGCUGACUCCACAUGGAACAAAGGAAUCACCCAGCUGAGCCCUAUUCAAACUAUUGACCAAAAAAAUAGUGAGACAUAAUAAAAUGAUGUUUUAAGC
ensembl:lncRNA LINC02805 long intergenic non-protein coding RNA 2805